UCUUAUCAUUCAACCAACCAAAACUGCUCUUUCCACUCACAUUUACACCUCUGAAUACCAAUUUAUUGUGUGUAAUGUCAUCAUAUAUGCCAUCCACAUCACAUAAGACAAAAAUGAAAGUGAAUAUCAAAGUAGCAAAAGUAUGCCUGGAACAAGUAAAAUUGAGACUCCUCUCUAUUUAUAUCCUCUCAUUCACUCUUAUCUAUGAACCCUUCCCUUGAAGAAGAAGAAAGAAGAAGAAGCCCAAGAAUUGAGGGGGCCUCUGUGCUACAACACGAGGAGGCUAUAUGUGUAUGAUCCAUCUUAUCAUGCACCAAUAGCAGUUGAAGCUGCCAGCAUGAUCUAAGCUUUUCUGUUGCCCACCCUUUCUCCAGGAAAGACUAGAUCAUGUGGCAGUUUCACCUGUUGAUGGAAGCAUGAGAAACCCUAAUAGACUCAAAUCCUGUUCCGAUCUUCUGAUCCGCUUUCAGCAACCCCAUUAGGGUUUUUCCUUAGGAAAACCUGAGAAAGGGUAUGCAGAAAAGGGUUUGGAGAACCAAGCCAUAUUUUCUCAAUAGAGAAGCAAAGGAUGAACAAUUAUCAUCUGAAAAAUAGUUUGUUGACAGUCGUGUUCCGCGAAAGGGCAAUAGAGACACUUUAGCAUUCUAGAAAGUAGCUUAUAAAUGCAGGCAUUUGGCUACCCUUUUUUUGUGUAUGUAUGGUGUUAUCUCAAUAUAGAACGGAAAUGGUCCAACAUUCACAGCCAUUGAACAUUAUCUUUGAGCACCUACUUGUAUAUUUUCAAGGACAUUAGUCAUGGUAGGAUUGUAUUUUUCAAGGUCAUAGUAGAUGGAAAAAGUCUUUUUUUUCUUUCUCUUUGUGCUUGUUUCUUGAGUUUGAUUCUUAGACAACACUGAACUUGUAAUGACUUUCCAUCUCCUAUGCUCUAACGUCUUAGCAUGGUCAACUUUGUCCGCCGUAGAUGUAAUGUCACUGCCUAAUCUUUAAGACCUUUGUUUCAGGACUCUCUCUCUCUCUCUCUCUCUCUUUCUCUCUCUGUAUGUAUGUUAGAUGAGGUUUAUGAACUUGGACUGCAUUGAAUAACAAGUUUGAUUUUUCUGUUUAGCUUGGCUUGGUGGAGUUUGUUACCCUCUUUUGUUGGGAAGCUUCAUUUGGCUACACUCCACACAAUCUUUCUAAAUUCUUAGAUAGCCCAUGUAGCCAAAAACGUCAUUUAUUUGGUUCGCACAUCUCUUCUAGGGUUUUUAUACCUUAAUUAUACAUGAAGAACACCACAUGGUUGGGGUGUUCCUUCCAGGGAUUUGUUACAUUCCAUUAAUGAGACUCUUCCCAUGAGCCCUAGCUAGGUCCUCCUCUUCAACUUGGCAUUAUAUUGAGUCACGUGGGCACUUCCCCAUGGGGACUCAAAGAGCAAGCCAUAGGCUGUAAUGCAGAAAGAGCCCAUGAAAAAGGAAAAAGUAGUAUAGUACUCUUUGUUUUUAUGUAUACAUCUAUGCUUAUGUCAUAUUCCUCAGGACAAGGAUGUUGCUAAAGACAUUGUUUUCCUCUCAUUCAAGAUAGGUGAUCGGACAUUUUCAUUGACUGGAAGCAAUCAGAACAGCUAGGACAACAAUCUUUUUCUGUUUGUAAUAUUUUUUGUAUAUAAAUUUUUUCAUAGGUGUAACUGUGUAAGGUAAAAUUGCUGAAAUACCCAUCAAUGAAAUGAUUUGAAUAACUCAAA